rnacentral:misc_RNA from 1 species
AAAGUCGUAACAAGGUUUCCGUAGGUGAACCUGCGGAAGGAUCAUUAACGAGUUAAUUGAACAGGUUGUAGCUGGCCCCCAGGGGGCAUGUGCACGCCUGGCUCAUCCACUCCUUCAACCUCUGUGCACUUGUUGUAGGUCGGCGGAAGGGUGAGUCUGGUUUCAUUACUGUGACUUGCUUGGAAGCCUUCCUAUGUCUUUACAAACGCUUCAGUUUAAGAAUGUAAAUCUGCGUAUAACGCAUCUAUAUACAACUUUCAGCAACGGAUCUCUUGGCUCUC